CUUCGACAUACUCGCGCUAGUAGGGCGUGCUGCUCUGCUCCACUUCCGCUCUCUGCCUCCGCCACGUAAGCAUGAGCCGUUACGACAGCCGCUCCGGCGACCCUGCUUCCUACCGCGACCGAAGAAGUGAUUCGGGGCUAGGUGCAUCUUCAGCUACAGGCUACGGUGGUUCAAGCAGAAGGGAGUACGACGACGGCGGGUCAGGGUCGCCCCGGAAACUUAAUUUGGAUGGGUUGCCUCAUUUCGAGAAAAACUUCUACAACGAAGCAAUCGCCGUUAGGGAAAUGACGGAGGCCGAAGUUAACGAGUAUCGUCAACGGCGUGAUAUCACCGUCGAAGGCCGAGAUGUUCCGAAACCUGUUAAAAGCUUUCACGAUGUCGGUUUUCCGGAAUAUGUAAUGCAAGAAAUUAAGAAAGCUGGGUUUGUUGAACCUACACCGAUUCAGUCCCAGGGUUGGCCUAUGGCUCUGAAGGGACGUGAUCUUAUAGGAAUUGCGGAAACGGGAUCAGGGAAGACGCUUGCGUACUUGUUGCCUGCAAUUGUGCACGUUAAUGCCCAGCCAAUUUUAGAUCCUGGGGAUGGACCUAUUGUGUUAGUUUUGGCUCCGACACGUGAACUUGCUGUCCAGAUACAACAAGAGGCUACUAAAUUUGGUGCCUCAUCUAGGAUUAAGAGUACGUGCAUAUAUGGUGGGGUUCCAAAGGGGCCUCAGGUGCGUGAUCUCCAGAAAGGUAUGUGGUGAAGUGUUGAAAUUGUAAUUGCCACUCCGGGAAGGUUGAUUGAUAUGCUUGAGUCAAAUCAUACUAACUUGCGGAGGGUUACCUACCUGGUAUUGGAUGAAGCUGAUAGGAUGUUGGACAUGGGGUUUGAUCCUCAGAUACGGAAGAUUGUCUCUCAGAUACCUGGAACAGAAUUCAUGGGGUGAUUUGUUUGCUUUCCUUUCCCAGUGGCCCAAAUUUCCAAGGCUUGCAAUCAUGGAAGUAAACUGUUUUUAUUAUUAUCAUCUGGGUGGAUAAAAGAAUUUUAUUUGGUAGAAAGGUCACUACUAAGGAAGGAUAAGAUAUCCUCUGAGAAAAGCAAACAACAAUACACUGAACUGAAGAGCAUUGAAUGACAUCAAUGCAAGAUAGAAUGCAACUCCUGUAAGAUUUCAGUUAAAGCCCACCCUUUCAAAGCAACCGUUGGAUAAUAACCAUAGAAAAGGCUAAGAAAUUAUAUUAUAUCCCAUCGAACUGAAAUGAUCUGAAAUUUUGGUUUGAGAAGCUCAGGAUUGAGGACAAACACAAUGCACCAAAUAGUGGCUUCCAGAGAGGAGUGCAUAAUGUAUUGAAUCAUGAGACAUUACUCUAAAUCACUUCUUACUAGAUAGGACACCUUAUGAUAUGAAUAAGCUCAUCAUGGAAAUUGAUGGCAUUCAAUCUGAGUUGGAUUAGCAAACACAGAUUGCUGAAGCUGCAGAUUAAAUUAGUUUAUUCUCUUGGUUAUCUGAUGAUUGUUUGAUUUUUUUUUCUUUUUUUUUUCCUUCCUUUAUGUAGAUUCGUCCAGACCGUCAAACUUUGUACUGGAGUGCCACCUGGCCAAAGGAGGUUGAACAAUUGGCAAGGCAGUUCCUUUAUAACCCAUACAAAGUAAUUAUAGGUUCUCCAGAUUUAAAAGCUAACCAUGCUAUACGGCAAUAUGUUGACAUUAUUCCUGAAAGGCAAAAAUAUGAUAAAUUGGUGAAGUUGCUGGAGGAUAUCAUGGAUGGCAGCCGAAUACUGAUAUUCAUGGAUACUAAGAAAGGAUGUGAUCAGAUUACUAGGCAGCUCCGCAUGGAUGGUUGGCCUGCACUUUCAAUUCAUGGAGAUAAAAGUCAAGCAGAAAGAGAUUGGGUGCUCUCAGAGUUUAAAUCUGGAAAGAGCCCUAUUAUGACUGCAACAGAUGUGGCAGCUCGUGGUUUAGAUGUGAAGGAUGUGAAGUAUGUGAUAAAUUAUGACUUUCCGGGAUCACUUGAGGAUUAUGUUCAUCGCAUUGGUCGAACUGGGAGAGCUGGUGCAAAAGGAACUGCAUAUACAUUCUUCACAGCUGCCAAUGCCAGAUUUGCAAAGGAACUUAUAUCCAUACUUGAGGAAGCUGGACAGAGAGUGAGUCCUGAAUUGGCAGCAAUGGGGCGUGGUGCACCUCCUCCACCUUCAGGAGGCUUCCGAGACCGUGGAAGGGGUUAUGGCAGCGGUCGCCCAUGGAGCUGAUUGAUGGAACUACCUUUAAAUUAGCUUUUUGUAAGAAUAGUGGUAGGAAUUCGGUUUUCUUCUUUGUUAGAAUCUUUUUCCAUAUUUAUUUGGUUGAAAUGUUCAUGUAAGAUGGAGGACCCUUGUAUGUACAAUCAAACAGUUGUUCAUACUCUAUUCAUUCUGCAAAAGGCGAGGAUGCACGUGAUUUAACUAUAUCGUCGUAUUGUUUUU